rnacentral:rRNA from 1 species
UACCAGCUCUCCGAGUGGUAGGGAUGAUUAUUGGGCUUAAAGCGUCCGUAGCCGGCUUAGCAAGUCUCCUGUUAAACUCAGCGACCUAAUCGUUGAUCCGCGGGAGAUACUACUAGGCUAGGAGGCGGGAGAGGUCGACGGUACUUCCGGGGUAGGGGUGAAAUCCAAUAAUCCCUGGAGGACCACCAGUGGCGAAGGCGGUUAACUAGAACGCGCCUGACGGUGAGGGACGAAAGCUGGGGGAGCGAACCGGAUUAGACACCCGGGUAGUCCCAGCUGUAAACGAUGCGAGCUAGGUGUUGGGUCAGCUACGAGCUGCCCCGGUGCCGCAGAGAAGUCGUUAAGCUCGCCGCUUGGGAAGUACGAUCGCAAGAUUGAAACUUAAAGGAAUUGGCGGGGGAGCACCACAAGGGGUGAAGCCUGCGGUUC